GAUCCAUUAGCUCAGUUGGCAGAGCACUUGACUUUUAAUCAAGGGGCCGAGGGUUCGAAUCCCUCAUGGAUCACCA
rnacentral:tRNA from 1 species